AUAUAUAUAUAAAAGAAUUAGAAAUAAAGUUAAAAUAAACCACUUUUGUAAUGAUAAAGCCAUUAAGGGUACAUUUAUAUGAUGAUGUACUAAAAAUGGAAAUGUUCCUUCUAUAGAUGACAAUGUUAGCAACAUGAUACCCAUUCAAAACUCUAGAGUUCAAGAUUCACAUUGUGUUACAUUUAUUUAUGAUUUUAAAGCGAUAGUUCACCCACAAAUUUAAAUGUACUCAAACUCAAGUGGUUCUGUAUCUUUAUGAGACUCUUUUAUCUGUCAAACACAAAGAAGAUACUUUGAAAAAUGUUAAAAACAUAAAACAACUGGCUUCCAUAGUUCCGUAGUUAAUACUUUCAUAUAAAUACAAAUACUAUGGAAUCCAUAAUUACAUGUUUUCAAAACGUUUCAAAACUACUAAAGAAGCUCAAUUGUGACAAGUGAUAAUUGAGUUAAUGAUGACAGAAUUUUCAGUUUUGGUUGAACUAUCCCUUUAAGGUCCCCUAAUACAAUUCAGAGACAUAAAUAAAAACACCCAUAAAUCACAAUGUAAAUGUUAAAAAAGGGGUAUUUCUACACUUGGAUCAGCAAAAAUGACAAAAAAAUAUUGUAACAUGCAAUACAGACCACUAAAGAAACACUACACAUCUGUGCGCUUGUACAGUCUUUGACAUUUAAACACAGCCCGGUCGUCUGCCAUUGUUGUUUCAUAAAUUAAGUGCUCAAUCAAAGUGGAUAACAGUUUUAAACAGCAAAAAUCAGUCCAAGGCACUUGAAAAAUGUGCAAAAUAUUAAAAAGCCUUUAUCGACAUGGCUAUUUCUUAAAACUGUGCUUAUGCGUUUUCAUUAGGGUAGCGUUUUCAUUAUUUUUUUCCAAAUUUUUCGAGUGCAUUGAACUAAUUUUUGCGGUUUAUUCUGAUGAAUCCCUUACCCAAAGAGCCCCGACACAUUAUUUAAGCUAUCCCUGCGCAUUUUUUGUUUGAUUUUGGAUAAACCUAAAAUGCUGUUGUCAUAUAAAGGAACAGCCAAAACACAAACAGUUUUGCAUUUUUAGUUGGAAAUGAGGCUAUGUAAAUGUACCCAAACAAUGUUUACAAAGAGUGAAUCCAAAAAUACCCAUUCAAAACCCUGUAUUUCGAGAUUCACAUUGUGUUACAUUUAUUUAUGAUUUUAAAGUGAUAGUUAACCCACAAAUUUAAAUGUACUCAAGCUCAAGUGGUUCUAUAGCUUUAUGAGUUUCCUUUUUCUGUCAGACACAAAUUAAGAUACUUUGAAAAAUGUUAAAACAUAAAACAACUUCCAUAGUUAAUAAUUCCAUAUAAAUACAAAUCCUGGGGAGGUCAAUAACUAUGUUUAUGUAUGUUUUCAAAAUGUUUGUUUAUAUAUGUUUUCAAAACUACUAAAGACGUGUGACAAGUGAUGAUUGAGUAAAUGAUGACAAAAUUUGGGUGAACAAUCCCUUUAAGGUCCCGUAAUACAAUUCAGAAGCAUAAAUAAAUGGAAAACACCCAUAAAUCACAGUGUAAAUGUAAAAAAAAAGGGUAUUUCUACACUUGGAUUGGCAAAAAUUACAAAUUUUGUAACAUGCAAAACAGAUCACUAAACAAACACUACACAUCUGUGCGCAUAUACAGUCUUUGACAUAUAAACACAGUCUGUUCGUCUGCGAUUGUUGUUUCAUAAAUUAAGUGCUUAAUCAAAGUGGAUAACAGUUUUAUACAGCAAAAAUCAGUCCAAUGCUUUCGAAAAAUAAGCAAAAAAUAUUAAAACGCCUUCAAACUGCACCUACGUUUUUUGGCAAACAACUGUGUUCAUCAAGGUUGUGUUUUUAAUAUUUUUUCCACAUAUUUCGAGUACCUUGGACUUUUGCUGUUUAUUCUGAUGAAUCCCUUACCCAAAGAGCACCGACACAGUUUUUAAGCUAUCCCUGAGCAUUUUUUGUUUGAUUUUGGAUAAAGAAACCUAAAAUGCUGUUGUCAUAUAAAGGAACAGCCAAAACACAAACAGUUUUCCAUUUUUAGUUGGAAACUAUGUUAUGUAAAUGUACCUAAACAAUGUUUACAAAGAGUGAAUCCAAAGUAGUCGCCAUUUUUACUUCAGCCAAAAAUGUACCACCAAAAAACAAAACAAACAAAAAGUUUGAUAAAUAGAGCCUAUUUUGUUGAAGAAGAAGCAACCAGAUCAGGGUUUAUUUUACCUCUGUCAGCUAGUUGUAUUAACACAGCAAACAGAGGAUGUUAAUAUUACCAGCUUUGCACAUCUGUUUGAGUAAAUGUGUUCAAAGAAGAGAGAGAGACAUAGAACAGUAUUGAUUCAUAGAACAAAAUCAACAGAGUUCUGAGUGGAAACUCCCAAGAUGUCUGACCCAGUUUGAAGCUUUCGCAACUAAUGGAAAAAAAAGUGCCAAGCCGAAAACUGACUGUUGAUCUUCCUUUCAAAGCAAAUGUUUGCAUAAAUCUGUUUUCCUAUAAUUGUUUUCUUUUGUUCGUGGUUUGCAUUUCGAAAGAUAUUGUUUAUCAGUUAAUUAGAAUCAUUGUUUGUGGCCAAAAAUAAGCUUCUUCCAGUGUGUUUGUGUGCGUGGAUUCGAUACAAGCUUUAAGCCACGAAUACUGAUCCGUCGCUGUCAUACUUUGAGCUCUAUAAGUGAUCUGAAAUGAAGCUCAGUCAAUAAUGUUUGAAUCAUUUCGCUUUAGAUGCGUUUUUGCAUCGAAAACAAUAUUUAUGUCUUUCUCCCUCAUCCACUUCUUCAGUCCCUGCUUUCUAUUAGCCUCGAUUUGGUAAAGUAUGUCAGUAAAAGCAAGAACAAAGUAGACUAGAUGGAUAAAAUCAGACACUCUGCCCUUUUUUUUCUCUCUUAGUUGUUAAAAGCAAAAUCCGAACACUAAAAGUCUACAUUUCAUCUAUCGAACGCUAUUAUCUCUUAGGUGGAAUAUAUUGAAAAUGUGUGCGCUGAUAAUAGGAGUUAUGUGAUUGUUCAGUUGCAUAUCAUAGAUUGAGAAGCUAGUUUCAUUCUGGCAGAUAUUGUUAGGGUUGUUAUGUAAUAUAUAAUUAAUUCUUUCUUUCUUGUGGUGAUUGGAUUUAAGUGCCGAAUACUUUCAGCUCCCAGAUAAACAUCUGUUAUGUUGUUGUAAUUAUAACUUGGUUGAUAUUGAAGAUGUAGUCAGAUCCGAUCAAACCAUGUGCCUACUUUUACACUUCUCUUAUUUAAUUAAUAUAUAUAUAUAUAUUAAAGUGAUGUUAAAAUUUGUUAAAAAUGUGGACCAAAUCGAAAAGGGAAUCCGGCUUAUACUGUGUUUUCUUGUUUACGUAUAUAUUAAUGCGAUAAUUAAUCUGCAUUGUCCGAAAUUAGAAACCAAACAACAAGACUUUCAAAUCAAUGUAUUGUGUAGAAUCCGUAUUACUGAUUUAUGAUAGUCGGUUUUGUUAAUCAAGUAAACGCUGUAUCUGAUAUUUUCUGCUGAAAAUAAACCUGCCCUUGAAGUGUCUGCUCCGAGGCUCUUGCUCCAUCA